GACGAACGCUGGCGGCGUGCUUAACACAUGCAAGUCGAACGGAAAGGCCCUGCUUUUGUGGGGUGCUCGAGUGGCGAACGGGUGAGUAACACGUGAGUAACCUGCCCUUGACUUUGGGAUAACUUCAGGAAACUGGGGCUAAUACCGGAUAGGAGCUCCUGCUGCAUGGUGGGGGUUGGAAAGUUUCGGCGGCUGGGGAUGGACUCGCGGCUUAUCAGCUUGUUGGUGGGGUAGUGGCUUACCAAGGCUUUGACGGGUAGCCGGCCUGAGAGGGUGACCGGCCACAUUGGGACUGAGAUACGGCCCAGACUCCUACGGGAGGCAGCAGUGGGGAAUAUUGCACAAUGGGCGGAAGCCUGAUGCAGCAACGCCGCGUGCGGGAUGACGGCCUUCGGGCUGUAAACCGCUUUCGCCUGUGACGAAGCGUGAGUGACGGUAAUGGGUAAAGAAGCACCGGCUAACUACGUG
rnacentral:rRNA from 1 species